CUCUAACCCCGGGGUUAGUAGACUCUGCUCAAUGAUUAAUAAAUAGCCGCAGUAUUUUAACUGUGCUAAGGUAGCAUAAUAAUUAGGCUUUUUAUAAAAGUCUGGUAUGAAAGAGCUGACGACCUUUGAGCUUUCCUGGCCUAGUGUUAUAAAUUUAUUUCUAAGUAAAAAAGCUUAGCUUCCUAGAAAGACGAUAAGACCCUAUAAAGCUUUACUAAUAAUAAUAAUAUCAGAAGUUCAUGAGGUUAAUUUAGUUGAGCUGGGGCGGCAAUUAAAAUUCUUUAAUGGAGUUAACAAAAUUUUUGAGAAGCUGGAUCUAAUAAGAGGUAGAAUAAGCUACUUUAGGGAUAACAGCGCAAUCUUUUUAUAGAGAACUUAUCGAUAAAAAGGACUUGCGACCUCGAUGUUGAAUUGGGGGGCCUAAAUUAAGCAGAAAUAAUUUAAGGGAGUCUGUUCGACUUUUAAUCCCCC
rnacentral:rRNA from 1 species